rnacentral:rRNA from 1 species
AUUGAACGCUAGCGGGAUGCUUUACACAUGCAAGUCGAACGGCAGCGCGGACUUCGGUCUGGCGGCGAGUGGCGAACGGGUGAGUAAUGUAUUGGAACGUGCCCAGUAGCGGGGGAUAACUACGCGAAAGCGUAGCUAAUACCGCAUACGCCCUACGGGGGAAAGCAGGGGAUCGUAAGACCUUGCACUAUUGGAGCGGCCGAUAUCGGAUUAGCUAGUUGGUGAGGUAACGGCUCACCAAGGCGACGAUCCGUAGCUGGUUUGAGAGGACGACCAGCCACACUGGGACUGAGACACGGCCCAGACUCCUACGGGAGGCAGCAGUGGGGAAUUUUGGACAAUGGGGGCAACCCUGAUCCAGCCAUCCCGCGUGUGCGAUGAAGGCCUUCGGGUUGUAAAGCACUUUUGGCAGGAAAGAAACGUCGCGGGCUAAUACCCCGUGGAACUGACGGUACCUGCAGAAUAAGCACCGGCUAACUACGUG